rnacentral:lncRNA from 1 species
GACCUAGAUGAGGAAACCCCAGGCAGAGUCCUGGGGAAGCAGCACGGCAUCCGAGCCUCAGGCUUGCCUGGACGGUGUUGGUUGGGGUAAGAUUGGGGAAGAUGCCAGGUGAUAGAAUCCACCCUGCCUCUGACAGCAUCCAAUCUGGAGCAAAGGCUUAUUUCAACCCUCCCCCAAGCUCCCAAUACAAGCCCAAAUUCUGGAACAGGUCCUUUCCAACACCUCCUUCAGAGAAGCUCCCUGGCUCCAGGCAGUGCUUGCUCCCCUCACUGCAGCAGGAAGCCUAACUUGCGAACUGCAGGUGUGCUCCAGGUGGUCACUGGAUGCAAGGCAUUGACAGAUGGAUCCCAUCGAUACCCCCACUGCAAAACCAUAGUGCAGUGAAUAGAAGACACUUCUCUGCACCCCAAAAGCUCCAUGCUGAUUGUGAGAAGGAAAUGCUGGAUGGAGGGGUUCCUGGAACUACUGUGAGGGAAAUGGUGCGAGAACUUUGGAUGUGGAACGUGGAGGAGGAGGAACACGAAGUGGGGAUCUGCACUUGGGGUGGUCAGCACUGCGGAUGCCCAGCAAAGUCACUGCCUGGUCCACAUCCCGGAGGGGUCUCUGCGCCUCAGUCGGCAUCGCAGCUGAUGGUGAAACUUUUGGUGUGGCAGAAGAGUGUCCACAAACUUCGGAAGGUAUCCGCUACAUCCUCCAUAGCCGUGUAUCCCUGCCCAGGGCAAUCUUCUGGGGGAGCGGAAAGUCCUGCUCCCGGGCCAGGGCUGGCUGGCUGGAGCCACUUGUGCGGCGCAGCCCUGGCGGAGGUUCAGGCGGCCCCGGUGUCGCAAGCGGCUGUGAGUGAUGCCUCCCUGGGGCCGGAGUGGUCCCAGGAAGGCUGCAGACCAGGGCUGACCAGCGGGCAGCAUGGUGGCCGCGAUGGAAGGUGACGGGGUUCGCAGCGCCAGGGGACCCAGCAGAGCCCGAGCCCGGGCAUCCCGCAUCUCCAGCAGCAUCGCAGGUAGGCCUGGUGCUGGUGAAGUGGCGGCCAGUGCACAAGGCCUACGACCCAGUCCCAGAGGCCAGCCCAUUGUCAGCUAACUUCAGGAACCCCGGGCCAGCUGAGGCCCCGGGCCCCAUGGGCAAGACAAAGGGCAGAGGGUCCGCAGGCGGGGCCGAGUGCAGGCAGUGCAGGCCUGGCUCCACCGCCGCGGAGCUCGCAGGGCGCAGCAGGCAUCGGGCAGUGACCAGGGCUUCCAGAGGAGGCUGUGCACCCCUGCAAAGGCUCCUGCCCUGCGUCCAGCCUAUCCGCGGGGACUCCACGUGCACCCCCUCCUCAUUGUCCUUGUCUAGGGCCGCGGCGGCAAGGUCCUUGCUCCCAUGGCGUGACUCCAGGGUGCAGGAGCCUGGGCUGAGCAGGUGGAGUAGGGUGAGCUCCGCCAAGAACCCAGCGAGAGUGGCGCCCCAGGGCGGCACAGGAGGCCGCAUUUAACAUGUCAAUCAUCUGAAAGAUUUUAUGGCAUCUUUUUUUUGACAUCUUAUAAUAUCUAUAAUGUUUAUUAUAUCUUGUGAUAUAAUUAUUAACACCACUUCAGUGUGAUUAUUAUGAUUAUUUUUAUACCAACACAUCUUCAAUUAUUAAUAUUCCCAGUUGCUAGAGAAAACUGAAAACUACUAGUUUUGAAAGCCUCACUUCUGCCAAUGGAAGCACAUUCCAGCAUGUCGCCAACGCAAUCCACUUUCCACCACUUUCACAAAAAACGUUACUGCACAAUUAUACUAUCCUACCCUUAUAUACUUUUUGUGUGUGUGUGUACUUGUAUGUAUGUAUGUUACAUAGGUCAUAUAU